CUUGCUACCUAUAUAUAUUAACGUCAUAAUUUGACUGUGUCGCUCCAUUUUAUGUAGUUCUAAAUGUUCAAUCUUUUUGCUUUCCAGGAGAGUGUAUGCUCUUAACAAACGAGGGGUGUUUCCAGAAGAAUUUGUGGCUUUGAGAUAUCUCACAUAUUUGAGUAUCUAUCAGAAUUAUUUCACCGGUCCCCUACCGGCAUUCAUUGGCAAUAUGUCUGCAUUGACUCACUUGUCAAUUGGCGUCAAUUCAUUCUCUGAGCCCAUCCCCAAGGAGCUUGGAAACCUUAAGGAGCUAACAUAUUUGGACAUUGGAUCAAAUAAUUUCUCCGGAACACUCCCUCCAGAACUUGGUAAUUUAGUCAAGCUCGAGCAACUUUACAUGGACAGCUGUGGACUCGGUGGUGAAAUUCCUUCAACAUUUGCCAACCUCACCAACAUGCAAGUCGUCUGGGCAUCGGACAAUCCUUUCUCGGGAAAGAUACCUGAUUUCAUAGGGAAUUGGACACAACUCUAUCAUUUGGAAUUUCAAGGGAACUCUUUCGAAGGCCCAAUACCAGCCAACUUUUCUCAACUGACCUCAUUGGAGUAUCUGCUAAUCAGUGAUAUAUACAACGGGAGCUCUUCUCUUGAUUUCAUAAAAAAUCUGAAAAGCUUGACUGAUUUAGGACUACGAAACGCAUUAAUCACCGGUACCAUCCCUUCUGAUAUUGGAGAAUAUCAAAGUCUAAAGACAUUGGAUCUGAGUUUCAACAAUUUGACAGGCCAACUACCAAGUUCUUUGUUCAACUUGAGUAAUCUUACAUACUUGUUUCUUGGAAACAAUAGUCUCUCUGGACCUCUUCCGAGCCAAAAGAGCUUUCAACUUCAGACUAUAGAUUUGUCUUACAAUUUUUUAUCAGGAAGCCUUCCCCAGUGGGUGACCACAAUGUCGCAACUGAACUUAGUGGUCAACAACUUCACAUUUGACGGUUCAAACAUAGCUCUUCCUCGAUUGAAUUGCCUCCAGAGAAAUUUUCCAUGCAAUCGAAAUACCCCACGAUCAAGCUUCUCAAUCAACUGUGGUGGACAGCAAAUGACGGGAAGUGAUGGCAUAUUGUAUGAGAGUGACGACUCAGAACUUGGUCUAGCAACAUUCAGUGUAACAGAGAAUUGGGCUGUCAGCAAUGUCGGUUUGCUUUCUGACCGUACCUCAUCGUUGAACAAGACCGUUGCACAAGUCACCGGAACAAAUGGGACCCCGGAGCUUCUCCAAACUUCAAGAACGUCCACAGGAUCACUGAGAUACUAUGGCCUGGGCCUUAAGAAUGGGCUCUACAAUGUAACAUUGCACUUUGCAGAGACGGUUUAUGAAAGUCGCACUUCACAAACUUGGCAAAGUCUAGGACGACGUGUAUUUGAUAUCUAUAUUCAGGGUACCCAAAGGACGAAGGACUUUGACAUAUCGAAGGAGGCAGGUGGUGUUAACCAAGCAGUUGUGAGAAAAUUUAAUGUUAACGUGUUAGAGAAUUAUCUUGAAAUUCAUCUAUUCUGGGCUGGUAAAGGGACUUGUUGCAUACCCAAUUAUGGUGAUUACGGCCCACUAAUAGCAGCUGUCCAUGCUGCUUCAGAUUUUACAAAGAAGAGCAAUAUUGGGUUGAUAGUUGGUAUUGCAGUUCUUGUUGGAGUUGUGAGCUUGCUAUUAAUAUUUGCAAUUCUAUAUAUGAGGAGGAAAAAAUCAGAAAAAGAAGACGAUGAAGAUAUUCUAGGAUUAGGCCCCCGGCCAUAUACUUUCAGUUAUGUUGAAUUGAGAACUGCAACUGAAGAUUUUAAUCCUUCAAAUAAGCUAGGAGAGGGAGGAUAUGGCCCCGUUUACAAGGGUACACUUUCUGAUGGUAGAGUAGUGGCUGUGAAGCAACUUUCAGUAUCAUCUCACCAAGGGAAGAGUCAAUUUGUAUCUGAAAUUGCUACCAUAUCUGCUGUGCAACAUCGGAAUCUAGUGAAAUUGUAUGGAUGCUGCAUUGAAGGCAGACACCGCAUUUUGGUUUAUGAGUAUCUUGAAAACAAGAGCCUUGAUCAGGCACUUUUUGGAACAAGUAACUUGCACCUUGACUGGCCUACUCGAUUCAAUAUAUUGUUGGGAACAGCAAGAGGAUUUGCUUACCUUCAUGAGGAGUCAAGGCCAAGGAUUGUACAUCGAGAUGUCAAAGCGAGUAAUAUUUUGCUUGAUGCAGAACUCUCCCCAAAAAUAUCAGAUUUUGGAUUGGCAAAGCUUUAUGAUGAUGAGAUAACCCACAUCAGCACCCGGGUUGCAGGGACAAUAGGCUAUUUGGCACCGGAGUAUGCAUUGUUUGGACAUUUGACAGAGAAGGCCGAUGUGUUUGGUUUUGGAGUCGUUGUUUUAGAGAUCCUCAGCGGGAGACCAAACUCUUAUAAUAACUUGGAUCUAGAAAAGAUUUCUCUUCUUGAAUGGGUGUGGGCUCUACAUGAAAAUGACCAAACUCUAGGGCUGGUGGAUCCGAGAUUGACAAAGUUUGAUGAAACUGAAGCAACUAGAUUGAUAAGAGUAGCUCUCAUGUGCACGCAGGGAUCACCGAUGGCACGACCAUCUAUGUCACGCGUGGUUGCAAUGCUCUCUGGAGACAUUGACGUAGGCACUGUCAUGUCGAAGCCAAGCUAUUUGACAGAUUAUGAUUUCAAAGAUGUAACAACAUCAUUAACAAGUAGAUUUUUGGUGGAGGAUGAUACCCCAUCAACUUCAUCCAAGGGUAGUAAUGUUUGCCUCAACUAUCAAUCGAGAGGCAGCAAUGCAAGUGGUGCUAACACUCCCUGGAUUGACCAUGCGCCUUCUGUAAACGUCACUCAAUCACUGCUCGCUGAAAUUAGAGCAAAAGGAAGGUGAUAAAUAUCAGGAACUGAUUUUUGCAUGCUCUUUCUUUUGGUAGUGGGCAGGGGACUGGCAUGCCAGAUUUGAAUAUACCUUAGUAAAUGGAUGUAUAUCCUACUUAUUCAUACACAAUGUUUAUAGAUAUGUUCAUGAACCACCACCACUGGAUGGAGAUCCCACCACUAAAAUUUAAGAAUGUGUUCAUGGAAUUCAGAUAAUUUAAUAAGGCCUUUUUGGGUCUAUAAAUUGAGCCUUGAUGUUGUCCAGUUGCAGAAUAAAGAAGAAAAUGCCUUUUUAGGUCUAUAAAUUGAGCUUUGAUUUUGAUUGGAUGUGUUCACUAAUAUUUCAGAGACAAGUAACUUGCACCUUGGCUGGCCUACUUGAUUCAAUAUAUUGUUGGGAACAGCAAGAGGACUUGCUUACCUCCAUAAGGAGUCAAGGCCAAGGAUUGUACAUCGAGAUGUCAAAGCCAUUAAUAUUUUGCUCGAUGUAGAACUCCCCCCAAAAAUAUCAAAUUUUGGAUUGGAAAAGUUUUAUGAUGACGAGAAAACCCACAUCAGCACCCGAGUUGCAGGGACAAUGUCACAUUUAUACUUGCAUGAAAUUUUAAUACACAUCAUGUUAAUAAUGCCACUAAUGAUCUCAAGAAACAUUGUACAACCAUUUGAUUAUCUUGCAUUGCAGAGGCUAUUUGGCACCCGAGUAUGCAAUGCGUGGACAUUUGACAGAUAAGGCUGAUGUGUUUGGUUUUGGAGUCGUUGCUCUGUAAAUCCCUAGCGGGAGACCAAACUCUGACAAUAACUUAGAUCCAUAAAAGAUUUAUCUUCUUGAAUGGACAUGGACUCUACAUGAAAACGACCAAAUUCUGGGGCUGGUGGAUCCAAGAUUGACAGAGUUUGACGAAAA